GUAUAAUAUUUGUUUAAUUUUGGUUUUUAAUUUAGUGUCUAUAAAUAAGAGAUGUACAAAAAAUUUGUAAAAAGAAGAAAAAAAUAAUAAUUUUACCAAGAAUAUUUUCUUGAUAUUAGAGCCUCUGAAUUCCAAAUAGAGUACAGAUAUUUCAAUACCUUAAAAUAAUUUUGCUCCGACCAGUGAAUUUUACUAUAGAAAAACUUUACAUAGGAACGUUUGAUGCACUUCCCGACCUGGGUAGAUCUUAAAGGGGAAGAUGCUGUGCCCGAGACUGUCCACCAUGUUGUCGUAAACAUUGAUCUCCGAACGGAUAGUAGCUGGAGCAAUCUUCGUCGCCAUCUAAAAUAAAUAAAUAAAUAAAUAUGUUUAUUCAGAGACAUUAAGUGAGGCGGUGAAGCUGCUGAAAAGAGAGUACUGUACUGCAUUUGAGGCUAUUAACACACACAAAAUGGAUCAAGCACUAAUAUUCUGCCGCACUAAGUUGGAUUGUGACAAUUUAGAGCGCUAUUUUAAUCAGAUCGGAGGAGGGGCCAAUAACAGAGGCAAUCCAUAUUCGUGUGUGUCUCUCCAUGGUGACCGCAAGUCUAAUGAACGCAAAGCGAAUCUCCAAAAAUUUAAGGAUGGUGGAGUGAAGUUCCUUAUAUGCACUGAUGUAGCUGCUCGAGGAAUUGAUGUUGGAGGCCUGCCGUUUAUAGUCAGUGUGACACUGCCAGAUGAGAAGAGCAACUAUGUUCAUCGUAUUGGGCGUGUGGGUAGAGCAGAGGUCUAGCUAUCUCCCUUGUUGCUGCUGUGCCAGAGAAGGUGUGGUACCAUGGAGAGUGGUGUUCAACUCGUGGGCGUAACUGUUUUAACACGCGGUUGACAACGGAAGAUGGUUGUUGCAUUUGGUACAACGAAUCACAGUACCUAGCUGAUAUUGAAGAGCACUUGGGAGUGACCAUCCAGCAGGUCGAUCAAGAAAUGAAAUUUCCAGUUGAUGAAUUUGAUGGCAAAGUGAUUUAUGGUGAAAAGAGAGCCAAUGUUGAUUCAAAGGUGGUCUGGACACCCAAUUUGGUCAGACAGGUGAAGAGAGCAUUUAGGAUAG
rnacentral:lncRNA from 1 species